GCCUCUCAUAUAUGGGUGACUUGCGUAUGCUUUUUGCAGAGGACAAAAAUAAGGUAGAGUUGAGACUUGAGUGGAGCCUAAGUUUUAGAUUUUUGUGGCCCUAAUUGUACCACAUGAAAGCAUCACUUGACGUGUAAGUUCGAAAUGUAAAUGGGUAGUUACUCAAUUUUAUAGUUGAUAUUACUUCCAGCAUGAUUUUUGUGGCCCUAACUGUACCACAUGAAAGCACCACUUUAUGUGUAAGUUCUAGAUGUAAAUGGGUAGUUUCUCAAUUUUAUAGUUGAUAUUACUUCCAGCAGAUCAAUUAAUUUAUAUUGAAAAUGUGUAUGUUAUCUUAUCAUCAGACAAGAGGGGUUGCUCUGAUGGUAAGCAACCCCCACUUCC
rnacentral:lncRNA from 1 species